GUCUACAGCCAUGGCACCCUGAACAAGCCCGAUCAUGUCUGAUUUCAGAAGCUAAGCAGGGUUGGGCCUGGUUAGUACUUGGAUGGGAGACCACCUAAGAAGACCAGGUACUGUAGGCA
rnacentral:rRNA from 1 species